UACGGAGGGUGCAAGCGUUAUCCGGAUUCACUGGGUUUAAAGGGUGCGUAGGUGGGCAGGUAAGUCAGUGGUGAAAUCUCUGGGCUUAACCCAGAAACUGCCGUUGAUACUAUCUGUCUUGAAUAUAGUGGAGGUGAGCGGAAUAUGUCAUGUAGCGGUGAAAUGCUUAGAUAUGACAUAGAACACCAAUUGCGGAGGCAGCUGGCUACACAUAUAUUGACACUGAGGCACGGAAAGCGUGGGGAUCAAACAGG
rnacentral:rRNA from 1 species